rnacentral:rRNA from 1 species
GAUGAACGCUAGCGGCAGGCCUAACACAUGCAAGUCGAGGGGCAGCAUAAAACAAGCUUGCUUGUUUGGUGGCGACCGGCGCACGGGUGCGUAACGCGUAUGCAACCUACCCUGUACUGGGGGAUAGCCCGGAGAAAUUCGGAUUAAGACCCCAUAGUAUAUAUCAUUCGCAUGUUUGGUAUAUUAAAGGUUACGGUACAGGAUGGGCAUGCGUCCUAUUAGCUAGAUGGUGAGUUAACGGUUCACCAUGGCGACGAUAGGUAGGGGGCCUGAGAGGGUGGUCCCCCACACUGGUACUGAGACACGGACCAGACUCCUACGGGAGGCAGCAGUGAGGAAUAUUGGUCAAUGGGCGCAAGCCUGAACCAGCCAUGCCGCGUGCAGGAAGAAGGUCCUAUGGAUUGUAAACUGCUUUUAUUUGGGAAUAAACCUCUUUACGUGUAGAGAGCUGAAGGUACCAAAUGAAUAAGCACCGGCUAACUCCGUGCCAGCAGCCGCAGUAAAAC